rnacentral:miRNA from 1 species
UGGAGAAGCAGGGCACGUGAA